GACGAACGCUGGCGGCGUGCUUAACACAUGCAAGUCGAACGGUGAAGCGCCUUCCUUUUUGGUGGGUGUGGAUGAGUGGCGAACGGGUGAGUAACACGUGAGUAACCUGCCCCCUUCUUCUGGAUAACCGCAUGAAAGUGUGGCUAAUACGGGAUAUUCUGGGUCUGUCGCAUGAUGGGUCUGGGAAAGAUCUUGUUUCGGUGGGGGAUGGGCUCGCGGCCUAUCAGCUUGUUGGUGGGGUGAUGGCCUACCAAGGCGGUGACGGGUAGCCGGCCUGAGAGGGUGGACGGUCACACUGGGACUGAGACACGGCCCAGACUCCUACGGGAGGCAGCAGUGGGGACUAUUGCACAAUGGGCGCAAGCCUGAUGCAGCGACGCCGCGUGAGGGAUGGAGGCCUUCGGGUUGUGAACCUCUUUCGCCAGUGAAGCAGGCCUGCCUCGUUUGUGGGUGGGUUGACGGUAGCUGGAUAAGAAGCGCCGGCUAACUACGUG
rnacentral:rRNA from 1 species